GACUAGCUCUCUUGAGCCUGCUGGCGG
rnacentral:piRNA from 1 species